GUGAUACCUCCGCAAAUGUGAAGAGAGGCUGCUGUUCCACUUGAGUUUAUGUUUCAGAAAGGAAAUAGAAUUUAUAGCAAGGCAUAAACUUUUAAUUUUCCCUUGUUUCUUUUCUUUUCUUCUAUUUCCUUCAUUCAGGGCAAGAGAGGCUAGUAGAUUACAUUCUUGAUUGAUAAAGAGCAGAGCUUGUUUCGUGUUAAUAUUGCCUAGUGGUUUAGGACUAUCUAUACUUCAUAUGAUACACAGUUUACCCAUUUACUUAAGAAAAUUGUGGAUACUGGUGAUGUUGGCAAGAUCAA
rnacentral:misc_RNA from 1 species